rnacentral:rRNA from 1 species
AUGGGCGCAAGCCUGAUCCAGCCAUGCCGCGUGCGUGAAGAAGGCCUUCGGGUUGUAAAGCGCUUUUGUUCGGGAAGAAACCGCCUGGGUUAAUACCCUGGGUGUAUGACGGUACCGAAAGAAUAAGCACCGGCUAACUACGUGCCAGCAGCCGCGGUAAUACA